AUGAACGCUAGCUACAGGCUUAACACAUGCAAGUCGAGGGGCAGCAUUUUAGUUUGCUUGCAAACUAAAGAUGGCGACCGGCGCACGGGUGAGUAACACGUAUCCAACCUGCCGAUAACUCGGGGAUAGCCUUUCGAAAGAAAGAUUAAUAUCCGAUGGUAUAUUUUCUCCGCAUGGUGAGAAUAUUAAAGAAUUUCGGUUAUCGAUGGGGAUGCGUUCCAUUAGUUUGUUGGCGGGGUAACGGCCCACCAAGACCACGAUGGAUAGGGGUUCUGAGAGGAAGGUCCCCCACAUUGGAACUGAGACACGGUCCAAACUCCUACGGGAGGCAGCAGUGAGGAAUAUUGGUCAAUGGACGAGAGUCUGAACCAGCCAAGUAGCGUGAAGGAUGACUGCCCUAUGGGUUGUAAACUUCUUUUAUAUGGGAAUAAAGUGUUCCACGUGUGGGAUUUUGUAUGUACCAUAUGAAUAAGGAUCGGCUAACUCCGUGCCAGCAGCCGCGGUAAUACGGAGGAUCCGAGCGUUAUCCGGAUUUAUUGGGUUUAAAGGGAGCGUAGGUGGAUUGUUAAGUCAGUUGUGAAAGUUUGCGGCUCAACCGUAAAAUUGCAGUUGAAACUGGCAGUCUUGAGUACAGUAGAGGUGGGCGGAAUUCGUGGUGUAGCGGUGAAAUGCUUAGAUAUCACGAAGAACUCCGAUUGCGAAGGCAGCUCACUAGACUGCAACUGACACUGAUGCUCGAAAGUGUGGGUAUCAAACAGGAUUAGAUACCCUGGUAGUCCACACAGUAAACGAUGAAUACUCGCUGUUUGCGAUAUACAGUAAGCGGCCAAGCGAAAGCAUUAAGUAUUCCACCUGGGGAGUACGCCGGCAACGGUGAAACUCAAAGGAAUUGACGGGGGCCCGCACAAGCAGUGGAGUAUGUGGUUUAAUUCGACGCAACGCGAAGAACCUUACCAGGACUUGACAUCCCUCUGACAGAGCCUUAACCGGCUCCUUCUUCGGACAGAGGAGACAGGUGGUGCAUGGUUGUCGUCAGCUCGUGUCGUGAGAUGUUGGGUUAAGUCCCGCAACGAGCGCAACCCUUAUCGAUAGUUACCAUCAGGUUAUGCUGGGGACUCUGUCGAGACUGCCGUCGUAAGAUGUGAGGAAGGUGGGGAUGACGUCAAAUCAGCACGGCCCUUACGUCCGGGGCUACACACGUGUUACAAUGGGGGGUACAGAAGGCAGCUACCUGGCGACAGGAUGCUAAUCCCAAAAACCUCUCUCAGUUCGGAUCGAAGUCUGCAACCCGACUUCGUGAAGCUGGAUUCGCUAGUAAUCGCGCAUCAGCCAUGGCGCGGUGAAUACGUUCCCGGGCCUUGUACACACCGCCCGUCAAGCCAUGAAAGCCGGGGGUACCUGAAGUACGUAACCGCAAGGAGCGUCCUAGGGUAAAACUGGUAAUUGGGGCU
rnacentral:rRNA from 1 species